AGUUACCAGCACGUUAUGGUGGGCACUCUAAGGAGACUGCCGGUGCAAACCGAGGAAGUGGGGAUGACGUCAAGUCAUCAUGGCCCUUACGGCCUGGGCUACACACGUGCUACAAUGGUCGGUACAAAAGGGUUGCCAAGCCGCGAGGUGGAGCUAAUCCCAUAAAACCGAUCGUAGUCCGGAUCGCAGUCUGCAACUCGACUGCGUGAAGUCGGAAUCGCUAGUAAUCGUGAAUCAGAAUGUCACGGUGAAUACGUUCCCGGGCCCU
rnacentral:rRNA from 1 species